CCUUGCCUCAGAAAAGGCACAAAUCUGCUGC
rnacentral:piRNA from 1 species